GAUGUUCUACCAAGAGAACAGAUGAAAAAACUAAGAAAAUUGACCUGCCCUACUGGGCCAUCAUUCUCAUGUGCCUGGCUAUGCUCCUGGGGCUCAUCCUUUGCCUUCUGUCCUGCUUCAUGGUUACCAUGUGCCUGAGGAAAAACAAAGGACAUUACAAAGUCCAAACAAUAAGCUCUUACCUCUACCACCUGGACCCCAGGAAAAUUAAUUAACAAUGGACUGUGAUAAAAAUGUAGCAGAACCCAGGGGCUGAAGUGCAUUGGUCUUGGGCUGGAAUAAACACUGGGCCUCGCUCA
rnacentral:lncRNA from 1 species